rnacentral:lncRNA from 10 species
GUCUCCAUAAAAACCCAAAAGGACAGGGUUUGAAGAGCUUCCAAAUAGCUGAACGCAUGGAGGUUCCUGGAGGGUGGUGUGCACUGGGAGGGCAUCGAACCACUGCACCCCUGCCCAUACCUUGCCCCACGCAUCUCUUCAUCUGUAUCCUUUAUAAUAUUUUUUAUAAUACCCUUUAUAAUAGACCAGUAAACAUGGACCCUGACUUCUGUGAGCUGCUCUAGCAAAGUAAUCAAAUCCAAGGAGGGGGCUGUGGGAUCUCUGAUUUAUAGCCGGUCAGUCAGGGCAUGGGUAAAACAACCUGGGACUUCAGAUAGGCGUCGGAAGUCAGGGGCAGCCUUGUGGGACUGAGCCCUCAACCUGCAGUGUCUGACACUAUCUCCAGGUAGAUAGUGUUGGAAUUGGAUUGGAGAAUGCCCAACUGGUGUCUGCUGAAGAAUUGAUUGCUUGCCUCUUGGUGGGGACCCCCUCAUCCAGUAUUUGGUUACAAAAGUCUUCUGUGUAGAUUGUUGUGGUGUGAAAGCAAAGGAAAAACAGUUUGUGUUUUCCACUCACAAAUGUUCUUUGUGAGGCAGGGAAUACGCAAGGGUUUCACCAUAGCAGCUCUCUAUCUGAAACCCUUGCUAGAGAUGACAUCACAUACAUUUCUCUGGGAAUAUAUGUUUCUUCUGUGCCUGUGUAAAAUUUAACAUCAGAAUAAAUCUAACUGUGCCAAUAUCAUAAAAAAGAGGAUUGUUUAUUUCAGUUGUAACAUUGAGCUUUCAUUUUGAUUUCAACUGACUUUGUAUUUCACUUUCAGUUUUUGAUGACUAUCUACGCACAGGCUAUUUAUAAGUAUUUAUAAAUACUCCUAAUUAAAGUAUUGUAGGACUUUCUCUUCAGUUCAGCUAAAAACCAGGUUCUUGUCACACGACCAGGAAAGGUUAGGCUUGUGGACACCUAGAAGGGUGAGAAAAAUGGAAAUUAUUGGGUGAAAAGGAAAAAGACUCUCCACAAAGCAAGAGGGGUUCCUGUUAACAGAUCCCCAUCUCACAUAUUGAAUCCCAGGUCACCGCCCAGGAACAGGAGAGGCCAGGCUCCUCCCGGCUGCAAAUGGUGUGAACUUCUCGAGGCCCUGCCCCAUCCUCCCAGUGCACAGGCUGGUAGAAGGUUCUCUGGGGAGACCUUUUUACUUGGCUGUCUCGAAAACAUAGAAAUAUCAUACAUUUUCGACACGCACAUAUGAAUCACACAAUAAUCAUGGUAGUUAAUAUUAGAUUUAGAUAAUGAAAACAUCCUUUUAUGUACUUCCUUUGUCUUUUUUUUUCUUCUUCAGUUUUCUAUUUUUCAACUAACAUGUUGCUUUGUGUUUCAUUGAAGAUGUACUUUCUGAUUUCCACAUAGAGCUGCAAAUGUCCAGUUCACAUCACAACACCAAGGAGAAGCAGCUCCUUGUUUUUCCUUUCGCCACUUCACCCUCAGGUCCACCCUCAGCAGCCAGCUCUCUGGGAUAGUCCUGAUCUUCUCCCAGCACAAUCAGUUAAAAAUCCCAUUGUAAAUCCUGCUGUUGGGUAAAUGGAAGUCAGUGCGUCAGAAUGGCAAUAAGCACUUACCAGAAUGAAUUGUAUGCAAAAAAAAUCUGAUGCCUUUUCUGUAGGACUGUCUAAAAAAGAGGAAAAUGGUUUAAAUACUCAUUUUAUGCACUACUAGAUAUGUUUCUGAAAAACUGUGUGUGAAUGGAAAACUUUGAACCUAUUUCAAGUGCAUAAGGGUACCUGACUACAUAAAUAAAACCUCUGGAGAAUUCUUUUCAAAAUGGUAGAAUUAAUCUCUAUUUAGUCACUUUCUUAGUUUGGAAUUUUAUAUGGUAGAACCCUCUGCAUGCUAGAAUGUGGUGAAUUGUUUUUUUUCUAGCUUUAAUUUUUGACAACCCUUUGAGAAGCCAGGAGAAAUUAAUCUAGAUGUUGAGGACAGAGAGUCCAUUUCAGGCUUUCUCAUUUUUUGGCAUCUUAUAUGGGGCAAAUCCUUGUGAAGAGGGUUCAGGGUGAAGAGGGCUAAUUAGGCCUCAUGAUUAGGGGAGGAAGGAACCACAGGAUAGAGCCUGCGGGACGGAGCUUGUCAGGGAGGGCUUGGAAGUGCAGAGGUGACCUUGGAUGGUGCAGACCAGUGAUCUUAAAAACAUUUCAGCUAUGGAACCCAUUCUUCAAAGAAGUCGUACUCAGAAGUCUGAUACAUUAAACAUGUAAAAGCCAAGCUGCUCUGCCUGAAGCGAUGUGGGGAGCCUGGAGUCCUGCUGAGGAAGGGUAUUUUGACCAUGCUGUUUAAUGCGUGUCACUGAUUAGAGGGUAAAGCAACUGCUACAUAAGUCUGUCUCUUCUAUGCACCAGCUGUGUGACUUGGGUCAGCUGCAUCACCUCUGUGAGCCUCAGGGCCCUAAUCUGUGAAAUGAAGGUUAAGCACUACCUCUCUAGUUUCAUGUAAGGGCUUAAGAAACUAACACGGCACUGUGCUUGACACAGGUUGUCUGUACAUGAUAAUUUGACAAAUGUUAAAACCAUUGCUCCUUCCCACCAACCCAUCAGCUUCCUACCUGACCUAAAAUUUCCAUCCAAAAAAAAAUCACUAACAGAUUUCACAACAAAGGCAGGGGGACUUGUCUCCAGAAGGAACCAUUAACAUGGAAAUAUUGCCUCUGAAGAGAAAAGUUUCUGUUGUUUCUUCUCUGGGCUUCUUUAGUUGACAUUCGGGUUUAAGAGUUGAUAUUGUUAGAGCCAUAAUCACAAGCACAGGUUCUUAGAACUGUGAUAAAAGAGCACCGAGUCAACAAGUUUUACAUGUAUGAAAACUGAGUGUUCAAGAGGUUAUUGCGUACCCAAGGCCAAGCAAUCACAGUGGAAGGACAUGGAUUAUUCACAUUUCUAAGUUCUGAUUUAGAUUCAUUUUACUAUUAGGUUGGUGCAAACAUAACUGCAGUUUUUGCCACUAAAAGUAAUCACUUUUAUACCAACCUAAUAUAAGAAGCUGUUUUUAGAAACUGGAAGCAAGAAUUCACUGAAAAGAGGCACAAGGAAAAUUUCUGAGCUGAUGGAAAUGUUCUUUAUCUUGAUGGGGAUGUAGUUUCCAUGGUUUUGAUGCAUUUCUCAAAAUUCAUUGAACUGUACAUUUAAGAUCUAUGCAAUUUACUAUAAAAAAUUAUGUCUCCAUUUAAAAAUGAGUAAGUGUUAUGUAUCCCCCCAAAUUCAUGUGUUUAAAUCUUAAUUCUCAGUACCUCAGAAAGUGACCUUACUUGGAUGUAGGGUUUUCACAGAGGUAAUCAAAAUAAAAUGAGGUCAUUAGAGUGGGUCUUAAUUCAAUAAGCCUGCUGCCUUUAUAAGAAGGGAAUAUUUGGACACAGAGGCUUAUGAAGAGAUGACAGCCAUCCACAACCCAUGAGAGGGGUCUGAAACACGUUUCUCUCCCAGCCCUCAAAAAAGAACCAAUCCUGCCAACACCAAGAUGUUGGCAGAUAUACCUUAAAUAAAGGUAUUUUAUAUAAGGUGUAUCUCUUAUAAGGAACAUAAUAUUUAUUUUUUUUCCUUUCAGACAAGAUCAGUUGUGUUCAGGGUGGUAUGGCCAUAGAUGGUUUCUUCUUUUCAAUUCAGACUAAUAAUCUUAAUUUUUAAAUUGAAGCAUUCAGUCUAUUUGUAUUUAAUGCAACUCCUGACAUAUUUCAAUGUAUUUACUUUUUUCUUAAUUAACCAGGCCAGUUUUGUGUUCUUUUUUGCUGUUUGGUAUUUAUAUUAUUUUGAUUUUAUAAAUGAGCAAUCCUUGACUUUGAGAGGUAAUACAAAUUAACUAAGUUCGUAUCCUGGUAAAUAGCAGAGUUCCUGAGGAAAGAAAACAGAAAACUGGCCAACAGGACAGUGUGGUAGAGGAGAAAGAGCUCUGGGAUUAGAAUCCAAAAUACCAGCUCCCCACUGAACUGCUGUGUGACUUUCUCCAGUCUACUUCCUUUUCUGAAAGUUAAGAGUGAUGAUACAUAUCCUACCAACCACUCUGAGUGGUUCAGUUCACAUGAGAAGUGAAAGUGCUUUGUGAAUUGGUUUUCCACAGGACUGGGCCCUGUUUGAGGGGUGGAAACAGGAGGUUGGUAGAGAGACCUGCCCAAGGUGACUGAAGAAAGGAUGGGGAGUCAUCACGUGAGGACAGGGAUUUGAGGGCAGGCAGCUCCCGCACAGCAGAACACUUUUAGAUUGGAAAGAUUUUGAUCAUCUCAAAAGUCUUGGAUAUAAAAAUUCAGUCUGUGUGGCAGGGAACAGCUCACUCCUGACUGGUUGAAGAUAGGAGGUUGAAGAAAUAAAUGAACUUGAAGCAGACUUGAAGUUUCAUGCCUGAGAUCCUAAAGCUUUGAAGAAGUCAGCUGCCAUGCUGUGGGAUGGCCUAUGGAGAGAGCCAUGUGGUAAAGAACUGUGGGCGGCUUCUAGGUGCUGAGUGUUACCCCAGCUGACAGCCAGCAAGAAGUCAGGGACCUCCAUCUUACAGCUGCGAGGAGAUGAAUUCUGCCAAGAACUGAAGGAAUGCAGAAAUGGACCCAUCCCAAAUUGGGCCUUCAGAUGAGAACAGCCCUGACCAACACCUUGAUUGUAGCCUCACAGAGGACCCAGCUAAGCUAUGCCUGGACUCCUAACCCACAGAAACUGUGAGAUAGUAAUUGCGUGUUGUUUUAACCUGCUAAGUUUGUGGUACUCUGUUACACACAAUACAUAAUAGCUCACAUUCUAUUUUUACUUUCUUGUUCAAAUGUAAGUGUAAGAGAGAGAUGCUUGUUUGACAAUCUCUGUUUUUCUAACAGCUAUCUGUGUGCUCUUUUUGUGAGUAGGUUGAUGGGGGGUGUGACAUGGACUGGCAUGAUGACAAAUCAUAACAAGGCUGAGAACAGGUAUGAAUGGAGAUCCCUGAGACGAUGCGCCCCUGCUUAAGUGAGGAGAUGCACUAGCCCCACCCUACCCCAUCCCUCCAUUUUUACCAAAUUGUCACCUUCAUUGGUGAUACUCCCAUUGGUCAGGCUGCAGAUUUGUCCCCAGGGGGACAUGAGAACUAGGCUUGUUUUCCAGGUGCCAGAGCCUCAACUCAUAAUUUGUGUUGUUUGAGGGACUGAUGUAAGAAAAGAUGAAUAGAUAGAUGGAUGAAUUGGAACAGACAGUCACCUCCAAUAGGAAAAGAAAAAGCCUCCAAGUCACCCUGCCUGGGGCUGCUUCACUGCUUUGCAUCCAUGCACAAAGGACAUCUUGUCGUGGUCAUUACUAAGCCAGUCAGUUUUCUCUCUCACUCUUAACCCCACCCAAGUUUCUCCAUUUACGAGCAUGUCUCACAGUUGUAAAAUAAUAAUAAAAAUAAUAUUAAAUCUCAAGACACCCUGUGAAAAUGUAAUGAAAAUCCACUACCAAAUACACUACCGAUUAAUAAAAUUCAGUAAUUUUUAUUCCUGUGCUGGGAAGCUAAGUUAGAGGACAUGGGAAAUAGAGAACUAUGCUAUAAAAAAUAGAACCAAUGGCAUUAAUUCUCUUAAAUAAUCAAAAUUUGACUGGUGAUUUUCCUGAUUUAUGUCACUCUUUAUUGUAAGCCAACAUGCACAGUCCAGCUUGAAUCUGCAAGAGUCAUAAAGGAAACCUCAAGUGGAUGUUCAUACUACAGUCCUCCUGGGGCAUAAACAUUAAUGGUUCAUAGAAGAAAAUAGAAUUAUCAGCUUUCACUGCUUAAAUGCCUUUUAUCUCUACUGUACAUACAUUCUGACAGAGUGAUUACCCUAAUCUCAAGUGUUGAGAACAAAUUAGUUCAUUUUAAAAUUCAUUAUUUACAAAGGAUUUAGUUCAAUAUUGAGUUUCUAAAUGAACCUCUACAUCACGUAAGAUUAAAUCCAGCCCCAGUGUAUCCGGGGUGUGAAUAGUAGUAGAUGAUGGAGAGGCAUAGAAUGUAUCAAAUUCUAUAGUAGUCAUAGUCUCACAAAUAAUUGGCACAGAUUUUUUUUCUGGCAAAUAACAAACUACCACUCAAGCCAGUUUCUUAUGAAAAAUAAAAAAUCAGAAUCAAUUUCUAACUUUGUCUUGUAAUUAUUUAUAUUAAGUAACAAAAUCUUGAAUUCUAAAUACUGACUCUUCUCAACUCUGUACAAAAUUCUGGCAAAUUCAAAAAUCUAUGCUUGCAUCAUUUACCUAUAUUAAUCCUCCAACGUGAUGUUUAAAAAGCCCAAAAUAUUCUGCAACCAGAACAAUGUCUAAUUUGCUUCUCAAACCUAUAGAAAUUGUGUUUGUUUUCAGUAAGUGUAAAAAUGUAUGAGACAAAUGUUCCUUACUGGCCCAUGGAAGGUAGGGUUUUGGGAAAGAAAGAUAAUGUACAUGCU